rnacentral:rRNA from 1 species
AGAGUUUGAUCCUGGCUCAGAACGAACGCUGGCGGCAGGCUUAACACAUGCAAGUCGAGCGCCCCGCAGGGAGAGCGCCAGACGGGUGAGUAACGCGUGGGAACAUACCCUUUGGUUCGGAAUAACUCAGGGAAACUUGAGCUAAUACCGGAUACGUCCGUAAGGAGAAAGAUUUAUCGCCAAAGGAUUGCCCCGCGUCCGAAUUAGCUAUU